rnacentral:rRNA from 1 species
GACGAACGCUGGCGGCGUGCCUAAUACAUGCAAGUAGAACGCACAGUUUAUACCGUAGCUUGCUACACCAUAAACUGUGAGUUGCGAACGGGUGAGUAACGCGUAGGUAACCUGCCUGGUAGCGGGGGAUAACUAUUGGAAACGAUAGCUAAUACCGCAUAAUAUUGAUUAUUGCAUGAUAAUUGAUUGAAAGAUGCAACUGCAUCACUACCAGAUGGACCUGCGUUGUAUUAGCUAGUAGGUGAGGUAACGGCUCACCUAGGCGACGAUACAUAGCCGACCUGAGAGGGUGAUCGGCCACACUGGGACUGAGACACGGCCCAGACUCCUACGGGAGGCAGCAGUAGGGAAUCUUCGGCAAUGGACGAAAGUCUGACCGAGCAACGCCGCGUGAGUGAAGAAGGUUUUCGGAUCGUAAAGCUCUGUUGUAAGAGAAGAACGGGUGUGAGAGUGGAAAGUUCACACUGUGACAGAUCUACCAGAAAGGACG